rnacentral:rRNA from 2 species
GGUGCCGAUAGCGGUGAGGGUCCACCUGUUCCCAUUCCGAACACAGUAGUUAAGCUCACUUGCGUCGACAAUACUCGAUGGGCAACUGUCCGGGAAGAUAGAUAGGCGC